rnacentral:tRNA from 1 species
AGUCCCGGGGUGUUACACGCCUGGUUGCAAGCCAUGAGAAGUAGGGUGAUUCCUACCGGGACUU